rnacentral:rRNA from 1 species
AACGAACGCUGGCGGCAGGCCUAACACAUGCAAGUCGAGCGAGGACUUCGGUUCUAGCGGCGGACGGGUGAGUAACGCGUGGGAAUGUGCCCUUCUCUACGGAAUAGCCCUGGGAAACUGGGAGUAAUACCGUAUACGCCCUAUAGGGGAAAGAUUUAUCGGAGAAGGAUCAGCCCGCGUUGGAUUAGGUAGUUGGUGGGGUAAUGGCCUACCAAGCCGACGAUCCAUAGCUGGUUUGAGAGGAUGAUCAGCCACACUGGGACUGAGACACGGCCCAGACUCCUACGGGAGGCAGCAGUGGGGAAUCUUAGACAAUGGGGGCAACCCUGAUCUAGCCAUGCCGCGUGAGUGAUGAAGGCCUUAGGGUUGUAAAGCUCUUUCAGCUGGGAAGAUAAUGACGGUACCAGCAGAAGAAGCCCCGGCUAACUCCGUG